AUUGAACGCUGGCGGCAGGCCUAACACAUGCAAGUCGAACGGCAGCACAGAAGAGCUUGCUCUUUGGGUGGCGAGUGGCGGACGGGUGAGUAAUGUCUGGGAAACUGCCCGAUGGAGGGGGAUAACUACUGGAAACGGUAGCUAAUACCGCAUAACGUCGCAAGACCAAAGUGGGGGACCUUCGGGCCUCACACCAUCGGAUGUGCCCAGAUGGGAUUAGCUAGUAGGUGGGGUAAUGGCUCACCUAGGCGACGAUCCCUAGCUGGUCUGAGAGGAUGACCAGGCACACUGGAACUGAGACACGGUCCAGACUCCUACGGGAGGCAGCAGUGGGGAAUAUUGCACAAUGGGCGCAAGCCUGAUGCAGCCAUGCCGCGUGUAUGAAGAAGGCCUUCGGGUUGUAAAGUACUUUCAGCGGGGAGGAAGGCGGUGAGGUUAAUAACCUCGCCGAUUGACGUUACACGCAGAAGAAGCACCGGCUAACUCCGUGCCAGCCGCCGCGGUAA
rnacentral:rRNA from 1 species